ACUAGAUCUUGAGAGAAGGGCAGCGAGGGGCCAGCGGAAAUCUAGCCCAGGAGAUGGAGGUGUGAAGACACAGAGUGAAUGAACCGCGAGCUAUCAUGAGGUAAACAGCUUCCUCUGCACAUGCUCCCAUCAUCAUGUGCUGCCUCACCACAGGCCCCAAAACAACAGGACCAACUGACCAUGGACUGAACCUCUGACACUGACAGAACCUGGAAUGAGUCUUACUGAUCCCAUCACAGAAUGGAAGUGGGGUAGGCUGCACCUUGAGCCCUGGGGAGAGCAGAGGGACAGAAAAUGAAGAAGAGAAGAAAACAAGGAUGAGAAGGAGAUCAAGGUUUGUGUUGGAAGGAAAGAACACCUCCUGAAGAAAGCAAGGAAAUGAUUUGUAUCAUCCUCUGGGCUUUAAGUGUUUUUAUGAUAUCCCUGAAAUAAGAACUAAGUAACUCUAGCAGUGGGUGACACUACAGUGAGGCAGAACAAGAUUGUGUGUGUGUGUGUGUGUGUGUGUGUGUGUGUGUG
ensembl:lncRNA